AUAAACGCUGGCGGCGUGCUUCACACAUGCAAGUCGAACGAAGUUUUUCUUUCGGGAGGAACUUAGUGGCGGACGGGUGAGUAACGCGUGGGUAACCUGCCCUGUACAGGGGGACAACAGCUGGAAACGGCUGCUAAUACCGCAUAAGCCCUUAGCACUGCAUGGUGCAUAGGGAAAAGGAGCAAUCCGGUACAGGAUGGACCCGCGUCUGAUUAGCCAGUUGGCAGGGUAACGGCCUACCAAAGCGACGAUCAGUAGCCGAUCUGAGAGGAUGUACGGCCACAUUGGGACUGAGACACGGCCCAGACUCCUACGGGAGGCAGCAGUGGGGAAUAUUGCACAAUGGAGGAAACUCUGAUGCAGCGACGCCGCGUGAGUGAAGAAGUAUUUCGGUAUGUAAAGCUCUAUCAGCAGGAAAGAAAAUGACGGUACCUGACUAAGAAGCACCGGCUAAAUACGUG
rnacentral:rRNA from 1 species